CCGGUGGGAUGUGGAAGGAGCCUCUUUGGUAGCUUCUAGGAAAGGCUUCCUCAUUGGUUAAAACAUGAGGCACAGGAAGAAAUUUUCUGUCUUGUGUUGGAUGCUGUCAUGGCUAAACAUGACACCUGAAUCUGCCACAAUCAUCUUGAGACCAUGAGUGAAGCUGGCUGGCCCAAAAACUAGCGCACACGCCGAGGGUGGUGAAAGGAAAGAUAGAGAGAAUCUGGGUUGCUGAUGACGUGGUGGACCUCAGUGUUCUCUAUUGGAUCCCC
rnacentral:lncRNA from 1 species